UACGUAGGGUGCGAGCGUUAAUCGGAAUUACUGGGCGUAAAGCGUGCGCAGGCGGUCAUGCAAGACAGAUGUGAAAUCCCCGGGCUCAACCUGGGAACUGCGGUUGUGACUGCAAGACUGGAGUGUGGCAGAGGGGGGUGGAAUUCCACGUGUAGCAGUGAAAUGCGUAGAGAUGUGGAGGAACACCGAUGGCGAAGGCAGCCCCCUGGGUCAACACUGACGCUCAUGCACGAAAGCGUGGGGAGCAAACAGG
rnacentral:rRNA from 1 species